AUGAAUGCUGGCGGCGUGCCUUAAGCAUGCAAGUCGAACGGAUGAGUCGCAAGACAAGUCAGUGGCAGACGGGUGAGUAACGCGUAGGAAUCUACCCUUAGGCGGACCAUAGCUCAUCGAAAGAUGGGGUAAUAGUCCAUAAUCAAUUUAUUGUAAAGCGCUUAACUGCGCACCAAAGGAGGAGCCUGCGUCCUAUCAGCUAGUUGGCGGGGUAAAUGCCCACCAAGGCAAUGACGGGUAGCUGGACUGAGAGGUCGAUCAGCCACAACUGCACUGAGACACGGGCAGUACACCUACGGGUGGCAGCAACUGGGAAUAUUGCGCAAUGGACGAAAGUCUGACGCAGCGACGCCGCGUGGAGGAAGAAGGCUCUCGGGUUGUAAACUCCUUUUGCCAAGCUCUUCACGGCUUGGAGAAUAAGCCUCUACUAACUACGUGCCAGAAGUCUCGGUAAUACGUAGGAGGCAAGCAUUAUCCGGAUUCAUUGGGCGUAAAGUGUAUGUAGGCGGAAUGAAUAGUCGUACUUUAAAGCCUUGGGCUUACCCCAAGUUUUGGGUACGAUACUUUCAUUCUAGAGGAUUGAUAGGGGUGCUAGAACAGCCAGUGUAGCAGUGAAAUGCGUUGAUAUUGGCUGGAAUACCAAAGGCGAAAGCAGGCACCUGGGUUUUUCCUGACGCUGAGAUACGAAAGCUAGGGUAGCGAAACAGAUUAGAGACCUGUGUAGUCCUAGCUGUAAACGAUGUCUGCUAGCUCUCGGUUUUCCGGGGGUGUAAGCUAACGCGUUAAGCAGACCGCCUGGGGAGUACGGUCGCAAGACUAAAACUCAAAGGAAUUGACGGGGACCCGCACAACCUGUGGAGCGUGUGGUUCAAUUCGAGACGAAACGAAGGACCUCACCAGGGUUUGACAUGCAAUCGUUUAUUCUUCUGGAAACAGAGGGAAAUCCGCGAGGAUGAUUGCACAGGUGCUGCAUGGCUGUCGUCAGCUCGUGCCGUGAGGUGCUCCCUUAAGUGGGGAAACGAGCGCAACCCCCAUCCAAUGUUACAAUAUUCAUUGGAAACUGAUGCUAUUUAAGUAGCGAAGGAAGGAGGGGAAGACGUCAAGUCAGCACGGCCCUUAUACCCUGGGCCACACACACACUACAAUGGCGAAGAACAAUGAGCAGCAAGUCGGCAACGACAAGCAAAUCUCAGAAAUUUCGCCUCAGUUCAGAUUGGGGUCUGAAACCCGACCCCAUGAAGCCGGAAUAGGUAGUAAUCGCGGAUCAGCAUGCCGCGGUGAAUACGUUCUCGGGUCUUGUACACACCGCCCGUCAAGGCAGCAAAGUCGGUAGCUAUCGAACCACCUCUUAGGGGUGGGAGAUAGAGAUCGGCGAUGAAGCUU
rnacentral:rRNA from 1 species